rnacentral:misc_RNA from 1 species
AGAGAGAGAUGGAAGGAGCAAAGUCUGAUGUGGUUCUAAUAAUUGAUCAAGGAAACUCUAAAACUCCAUCAAUGGAAACUGAGCUCAAAGACCACAUCACUAAAGAAGAAAAAUCCCAAAACACAACCAAAAACCUUCGUCGUCUCAGCUUCUCCAAACCCAAAGCUCGAUUCAUCGAGUACAACUAUUCUUAUACUGCCCAGAAAACAACCGCUGCAUCCAACAAUAUGGAACCCUUGAUCGAGAAAGGCUACUAUUCUUCGACGAUGGACGAUGGCGAUGAAGAUAGU